rnacentral:rRNA from 1 species
AUUGAACGCUGGCGGCGUGCUUAACACAUGCAAGUCGAUCGGUAACGCGGGGGCAACCCUGGCGACGAGAGGCGGACGGGUGAGGAACGCUUGGGAAUCUGCCUAUCAGCGGGGGACAACCCGGGGGAACUCGGGCUAAUACCGCAUACGCUCUACGGAGGAAAGCCGGGGACCGCAAGGCCUGGCACUGACAGAUGAGCCAAAGUCGGAUUAGCGAGUUGGCGGGGUAACGGCCCACCAAGGCGACGAUCCGUAGCUGGUCUGAGAGGACGAUCAGCCACACUGGGACUGAGACACGGCCCAGACUCCUACGGGAGGCAGCAGUGGGGAAUAUUGGACAAUGGGGGAAACCCUGAUCCAGCGACGCCGCGUGGGUGAAGAAGGCCUGCGGGUUGUAAAGCCCUUUCGGUAGGGACGAAAGCUCUCGACCUAACACGUCGGGAGGUUGACUUAACCUACAAAAGAAGCACCGGCUAACUCUGUGCCAGCAGCCGCAGUAA